CCCGCGACAAGCGGUGGAGCAUGUGGUUUAAUUCGAUGCAACGCGAAGAACCUUACCUGGGCUUGACAUCCCGGGAAUCCCUUGGAAACAAGGGAGUGCCCUUCGGGGAACCUGGAGACAGGUGCUGCAUGGGCUGUCGUCAGCUCGUGUCGUGAGAUGUAGGGUUAAGUCCCGCAACGAGCGCAACCCUUGUCUUUAAUUGCCAUCAUUGAGUUGGGCACUUUAAAGAGACUGCCGGUGUUAAACCGGAGGAAGGUGGGGAUGACGUCAAGUCCUCAUGGCCUUUAUGCCCAGGGCUACACACGUGCUACAAUGGGUGGUACAAAGAGCAGCCAGCUCGCGAGAGUGAGCAAAUCUCAAAAAGCCAUCCUCAGUUCGGAUUGAAGUCUGCAACUCGACUUCAUGAAGUUGGAAUCGCUAGUAAUCGCGGAUCAGCAUGCCGCGGUCGAAUACGUUCCCGGGCCUU
rnacentral:rRNA from 1 species